rnacentral:tRNA from 1 species
AAAUAAGAAGCAAUUAUGCAUUCAGUUUCGACCUGAAAGAAAGAUUAUUUAAUCCUUAAUUA